AGGGAAAUAGCUCAGUGGUAGAGUGCUUGCUUAGCAUGCACAAGGUCCUGGGUUCAAUCCCCAGUACCUCCA
rnacentral:tRNA from 1 species